CCUUAAACAGUAAUUAUGACCAAGUAAGUUAUCAAGAACAUAAUUAAGCUUUCUACUAAAGUAAUUAAUUAUCAUAACUAAAUGUCAUGAGUAUAAGAUUUGUCUGAGCAUAAAUAAAUACUUAACCAAAGGAUAAGGUUUUAGGCUGUUAGUUAUUUCUGUUUAGUCAGUUAGAUUGGUUUUUUCUAUUAGUAUUUCUGUUAGUUUGUUUUGCAGUCUUAUAUAAGCAACAGAAUGGGAACAGUUUAGAAUCAAAUCCAUGUAGCUUGGAGAAGAUUAGCAUGGAUAACAAAACUACAUCUGUAAGCAAAAAGAAUGAACAUGAGAAGCAGCCAUAUCACUGCUUUCUUCUGGUGGGAUGAAUAAAAGAAUGCAAAAUGAAAAGCAGCCAUAUCACUGCAAAAAGAAUGAACAUGAGAAGCAGCCACCACGUUGUUCUGUGGUAAAUGAAAACGAGGAGAAUCCAUGACCACGAUCUUCUUCAUCUUGUCUAAGACAUCCAAUUCAGUUAGGACAACUUCAUUGGAAGGGUUUGCCAAACACAUACACUGGUCUUCAUCACAGUCCUUUUCUCGUGAUUCGUCCAGUUGGAUUAGGGAAUUUAAAUCACAGAAGUGGCGGCAUAUACAUCCCUCAUUACCAAAUUGAUAUUGACAAAUUGAUUAGGUUUUCAUUUGGUAUUUCUGUUUCCUAAUGUCUGUUAUGCUUACAGAAUAACUGUAAUAUGGGGUAUGCUUUCAUCAAUAUGCUCUCUCAUUCACACGUCGUCCCUUUUUAUAAGGCUUUUCAUGAGAAGAAAUGGGAAAAGUUUACUAGUGACAAAGUUGCUACAAGGAAAGGCUGAAGAACUUGCUAAGCAUUCUGAGAAAAGGAUGCACAAGCCUAAGAAAAUAAUGAUCAGGAACUAUUUGCAUCCAGCAACUUGAAUAUAUGAAUAUAUGUCUACGUCAACCGGAUGGAUCGUGCUCAAGUGAAUUUGUUGGAGAAUUCCAAUGGCAUUUUGGAUGAGAUGCUUGAGAAUG